AUACGUAGGGGGCGAGCGUUGUCCGGAAUGAUUGGGCGUAAAGGGCGCGUAGGCGGCCCGGUAAGUCUGGAGUGAAAGUCCUGUUUUUAAGAUGGGAAUUGCUUUGGAUACUGUCGGGCUUGAGUGCAGGAGAGGUAAGUGGAAUUCCCAGUGUAGCGGUGAAAUGCGUAGAGAUUGGGAGGAACACCAGUGGCGAAGGCGACUUACUGGACUGUAACUGACGCUGAGGCGCGAAAGUGUGGGGAGCAAACAGGAUUAGAUACCCUGGUAGUCCACACUGUAAACGAUGAAUGCUAGGUGUAGGGGGUAUCGACCCCUUCUGUGCCGCAGUCAACACAAUAAGCAUUCCGCCUGGGGAGUACGGCCGCAAGGUUGAAACUCAAAGGAAUUGACG
rnacentral:rRNA from 1 species